rnacentral:rRNA from 1 species
UACGGAGGGGGCUAGCGUUGUUCGGAAUUACUGGGCGUAAAGCGCACGUAGGCGGUUUUGUAAGUUAGAGGUGAAAGCCUGGGGCUCAACUCCAGAAUAGCCUUUAAGGCUGCAUCACUUGAACACGGGAGAGGUGAGUGGAAUUCCGAGUGUAGAGGUGAAAUUCGUAGAUAUUCGGAAGAACACCAGUGGCGAAGGCGGCUCACUGGACCGUUGUUGACGCUGAGGUGCGAAAGCGUGGGGAGCAAACAGG